UUCAGGAGGAGUUUGAUAAAGAGAUGAAUUAAUCAUGCAUAUUUUCAUGUUUUAACGACAUCCCUCCUGAAUCCAAACAGCAGAUUGUUUCGCCCCUUAAUUGGCAAUCGCCCCUCAAUUAAUCUGAGGUUAGCCGGUGCUGAGCUUUAGAUUGAUGUGAGUACGUUAAAGGUCAUUACACCCAGGCUUCUAUCCAACAGGUAAAAUGUGCAUCUAUGAGUGAAAGAGCGUUACUUUAUUUCACACAAAACAUCAAACAUCCAAUGAUAGAUUUUUAUAUGAGCUCUUCCUGCAUUAAUACUGACAUUGGGGUAGUUAAAGCGGCUGUAAAGCACACAGUCUCAGUGUUUGUUUGCUGUGUGUCUGGGGGAGGGGAGGUGUGAAUGAGAUAGAGUCAACGGUCAGGGGUGCCAAAGCUGCAGAGGCACAGAGUUGGCAUUGAGAGCUGGUAUGGGGGGGCGGGUUUCGCCUGGCAGUGUCUGUCUCAUGGAGCAAAGGGACCACAUCUCAAUGACUCCUAAGCUCUCUGUAUUAUGCUAAGACAUGUAUCCUUGAGGGAGCGUGGCUCGCAGUUGAAAGUCACUCAAGGUUGGAGAAUUAACGCAGCUAACAAGAAGAAAGUGGAGACACGCAGCGGCGCUGCAUCUGCGCGCCUUCACAUGUGCAGCUUUCUAAAAUGAUUGAUUAGACUCCGCCUAAUUAACAAAUCAAUACUUGAUGAUCCUUUUCAGACCGAUGAGGCGUGAAAUUUUCUAAAAUGAGUGAUUUACGGUGCCAAACUGCCCGGCUUUAAGAGGCUCAUAAAUAUAGACAUUUGUGGAUGUUUGUGUUUGUGUUAUCAGGGAGUUAAACUGCAUGUGACUCGAUUUCCUCUCGCUGAUAUAUAUCUCUGACACCAGGAGAUGAAUUACACCCUCAGCUCAUUUCCCCCUCCUUCCCAACCUUUACACAAGGUGACCUUGCAUGUAACAUCAUUUACAACUGAAUGACAUGUUUGCUGUUCAUGCCGGGCUGCAUCAAUACUGCCAGUGUUGUGACACAUUGCAUAGUCGGUGUGUAGCGCUAAAUGGUCCAAUUCAAAGCAGGAGGAAUUGUCUUUGCAUCCAUAUGCCUUCCAUCUGCUUGGCUCACGCUGAUCCUUUCUUUCUACAAUGAGACUACAAACGAGUGUGUGUGUGUGUGUCGAGUGUGUGUGUUUGUGUGUAAACGAAGCACAGAUGUCAUUCAGGUGUGAUAAACAGCUUCCAACCCAUCUUUACCUAAACUGUGAGCUCUCCUGCUGCAGAGGAGAAAAACUGAAUUGUUCCGUUUUUUGCAGCUAUAAAACCUUCAGCAGUUACACAAUAAGAAUCAGUCAAAUUCUCCAAACAUAUGCAAAUGGUAAAAUGCUCCACUGGCUGCACUUCUGAGCAAAUCGAGCCUCCGUGCUCCAAUGAUGUUUGCACGUUUUUCAGAAAGUCAUUAUGCACAUCAUCAGGGCAACACAACAGCAGCUCCUCUCUGCAAAAGCCUCUGACUCACAAACAGCUGCACUGGUAACACGCAGUUUGACCUCUUUUUUCACACAUUUACUGCUCUUUGGAAAACUUGCAGAGUUCCUGAAAAUAACUAUAAAUGCAGAAAUACUUUUAAUACAUUUUAGUUUCAAGCAGACUUAUUUCUGUUUGAUGGUGCUCACUUUAGACUCUCCCCUGUCUCUCACUUACGUUGUUUAAAUGAUGUGGCCCUAUGUUGUUUUUACCUAUAUUUUUACCAUCUUUGGAUAUUUUAAAAAAGUGAUUUUUAAACUUUGCACAGAGCGGUGCAUUGAAAACUUAAAAUUUAAUAUAUUUAUUCACCUUAAAUGACAAGGAAAAGCUUGAUUUCUAGGGAAAAUGUAAAUAAACCAAACAUGCACACUCGCUGCACCUCAAAUAUUAGCGAUAACUUCCUUUCAUGCGUUAAGAUAAUUAUUACAAAAAUCUCCAUCUCACUUUAAACUCAUUGCAAGUUCACAAAAGGUCAAAACCUGCAGAAAAAUACAAAAAUAUUUGCCUGCAUGUGAGUGAAGCCUAAAAUUUCUAACAUGCCAGAAAUUCAUCUGACCACUCUGGAGCAGCUGAUUGGCUGUGAUUGUUCCGCAUGACCCCCAGUACGAUUAGACAAACAAGAACAAUCAAUGCACAACGUCUUCAGUGCAGUUUAUAAAUCUGGUCAGAAUCAUCCUCAACAUGCACACCUAAAUCUAGAGAAUUAUUCGGUCUCAUUUUGCUGCAGAACUGGUAUCACAUUUGUUACAACCAGGACUUACAAUAACCCCCCAACACACGUUUAUAAUGUAGACAGAAUGAAACUCCUUCUGCAUGAGAGCGCGGCUCCCGCUGCAGAGAGCGGAGGUGUUGAUGACCUGUCUCCUCAAUCAGACAGAAAAAAUGAGCGUAAGCACUGAGCUGUAGAACUCUAUGAGCCUUAUUAUGCUGGUAUAUCAUCAACGUAAAGCCCUUUGUGAACUGGACCCUGACUGAGAAAACAGCUGCAGCGGUUGACGCACGCUUUAUGGUGAUGUUAGAGCGGCUGCAAACCAAUCUAUGGGAAUUCAUCCUAGUUGAAGGAAUUAAAGGAGAAAUACCUUCCUCGAAACGCCUGGCUUUUGAUUAACUCCACAGCACCUAUAGUCUGAGUCCCACUGGAGCACUUUGACUCCUCUUGUGGUCUAAAUCAAUGACAGUGUCGGCCGCACCCCGCCAUCCUGUCCCCAUGCUCCACCAACCAGAGGCUGAUGAUGUGAAAUAUUGAUUUGCAUGUCCACCCAUAUCACCACGCCUUGGCUUUGCUGUCAAGUUCAUUUAGAAGCAGCCUCUUUAACGGCCCUUUGAUGCCAAGCUCGUGGCAGCAGUCAGAGCAGAGGUGGAGGAGGAGGAGGAGGAGGAGGAGGAGGAGGGAAGAGGGAGAAGAAGAAGAAGAAGAAGUACCUUAAGGCGGAAAACAAAAUACAAACAAGACUGCACAAGAGCGCAGUGCUGUGAAGAGAUUCUCAUAAUCUAUCACUGAGUAUGAAAUUAAAACAAACCCUUUGUUCAGCGGUGGGAGAAGCUCCAUGAGUGUUGCAUUCUGGGUAUAAACCUGCAGCCAUUCAUGCAAAGAGAAUAAGAUACUCGGUGCGUCAAAUGAGCUCGUACACUAUGUUUCCCAAUUAGUCAUUUCAGCAUGGAUACACUCCUCUGCUUCAUAUAAACAGCCAACAGCCUCGCCUCAACUUCAGCUCACACACAGACAACAAAAAACACACACACAGACACAGACACACACACACAAACACACACAGAGAGAGAGAGGGUAAGAGAUGCUGCUUUAUGAGCUGCAGCAGAGACAGGAUGGCCUUUGCAGAAAACAGGAGGUAAAAGGUUAGUCUCCUCUAAGAGAGAGAGGGUCAGUCAUACCUCUGUGGCUCGCUGGUAUACAGACAGAUCUCAGAUUGUAAAAUAAUGCCACAGGAGGCCAUGAGAAAGAUAAAAAGGUGACCUUUUCCUGCAGUGACAAACUGAUGUUAAUGUCUCCACUCCUCUCCCAAACAGCUGUAGUUUACAGUCAACAUGAGAGCACACACUGCAGCAGAGCUGGACGAUCUGGAAUCAGCUGUUAUGACUCAGAGUUUUAAAGUUUGAGGCGUCGAGGUUACCUUAGCAGACUCUGCAGGGUGCUUGGUUCUGUAACCACACGGCACUGAGUUCUAAAUGAGAUAACAAAUGCUCAGUAUCGUCUUUGAAAACAGGUCUGUUUUCUCCCUUCGAACAGGCUGCAGGUUAUAAUAGGAUCACAGAUAGUGAUAGUUGAGACAGACAGCAGACAGACUUCUUACCAGCACGCACCGAGUAUUUGCACUGAUGCAAUGACUGCAGUUUGGUUUAAAAAGGUAAACAAACAGCAAUGUAACUAGUAGGGCUGCAGGAUUCAUUGAUUUUAAAUCUUAAUUUGAUUAUCUGAUGAUGACGAUGUUAAAAAAAUUAAAAUCAUUGAAUCGAUUUUUUCUCUCUAUCAUGUCUCACGCCUCCAGGCCACCGUAGGCUCCCCCAGCUUGUUACAGUUUCAGACGAAGAGCAAACCACUCCCCGCUGCAAAGUCUGUCUGAAGGCGGUAUCAACCCGUCCAAACAAAUUCAGGAGUAAACGCAAAAGAUUUUUGUCGUAUCAUUCACACGGAAACAGCGUUUCGGGUGACUGUAAACUGUAUUUUUUGAAAACGGGUCCAUAGACGACUUUUAUGGCGCCUGUGUAUGUCCGACCAAAAGAGCCUUUAUACACACGCUCUGUGCUCUUCUUUUGUCUUUUGUGCAUUUCCUGUGCAGCGUUACAGCGCCACUUACUGUCUUGGCAUAUGCACUACAUCAUUUUCAGUGGUUUCAUUUUGAAAGAUGGUAGAAAAACUUGUUAUUUUUAAAGUGAAGUUUGGUGAAGCUGUCAAUGAAUAAAAAAUCGAAAUCAAAAAUCGAGAUUUUAUUUUUGGCCAAAAUCGUGCAGCCCUAGUAACAAGUAGUCAGACAGAGACCACUGUUUGAUACUGACUAUGUAUUUAUAAUUUUAACUGUAAUCUUUGUUGCAGACUGCCAACCAAUCACGCCUUUGUCUCUAACUGACGUCAUCACCUUUAUUUUAACUAAUGGAGGGAAAUAAAGAAAAUAGAGUGAGUGCAGAGAGGAGGAAACAGACCAAAUUUCCAAACCUCCAAACAGGACGUCUUUAAAUUUACCCCCAAAUCCUGUCCCAUCAGGUGACAGCAAACUUUCGUUCUUUUCUACAUUUGUUGACGAUAUAGAAAUAAUGUGGUUGCUGUUAGUAACGCCUGGUAAGAGCUGCAGAGUCCAAGAAUAACAUCCAGGCUGUAAAACCUUCCCCCCCUUCUCUCCUGACUGAAAUCAAUCUGCUCCGUCAAUAAGAAGCAGCUCACUCUUGUUUAGAGCUGCUCAGCCUUCAGGGCGAAAACCACAUUUUUACGUUUGAUAUUUGUAACUUUAAAUUUUUGACUUUGAUCAUCUGUAUUUGGACGUAUGAGUUACCUCAGAAAACAUCUGCUGAAAUACAGAGAUAGAUUCACCCAUGGCCUUAUGAAUGUACAGUUUCUGCUCCAUCCUAUCAAAGCUUGUUCUUUCCUUUUUCAAAUCCAUUAUUCUGAAAUAAAAUGCAAAAAUAUUUCUUAUCCAGAUGCCUGAUUUAAUGCUUUUAUGACGUUUUCACUGAAGGUUACAUGUUUAAUCCUGAACGCUUGUUUUUUCAUUAAUAUUUCACGUCCUGUGUUGUUUGUGUGAGGACAAAGGAGGCUGAUUCAUUCGUUGUAUGAGUACAAACAGAGUGACCAUGAACUAUGAACCGUGGAGCCUCUGAGGAAAUCAACAUGACCUCAGAUUCAGGACAAAUUAGAGGUUCGCCGCUCUGUGAAAGACUGCGUGAGCGAACAGUUCGACAGUUCCUGAGAUUAAAAUGUAAAGACUUUGAGGAUUUCAGCAUCUCAACACAGAAAGGGCAAAACCAACAACUGACACUGGAUGACUGAGACCUUCAGGAUCAGGAAGUAACUGCAUUCGCUCGAAAUGCACUCCAGAAAAACUGUGCACUGGUCUGACAAAUCAAUGACCUGGUGGUCUGGGGAUCAUCAGAGUCCAUGUCAUGGGUAUAUUCCACAUCUGUGAAGGCUCCAAUAAGGCUGAACUAGGACUGGGUGAUUAUAUGAUCGUGAUUGUGAUAAAUUUCAGUUCGAUCACGGCUGUGAGCAUAUUUACUCGAUUACACAUAGCGGAAACGUGCGUCACAACAGCCAAUCAGAGUCAAGCUUUUCCUGCUCACUUCUGUAAGUUGUCGGAGAAGAAAACAGGAGAAGUAAACAGAAUGACCGAACAUGGAGAUAAACGUGGAGCUGAGGGCAGCAAGAUAGAUGUCAGCUUUGACUUUGAGUCAUCCUCCAAAGAUGUUAUUUUUGAGAAGUUGUUCAACGUCGGUUGUGUGGCUAUGGUUCGGGUAUUUCCAAAGUGACGUUGAGUAAUUAAGCCGAUAUGUAAGGUAUGUCGGCAAUCGGUGCCUUCAAAAACCGGCAACACAACGAAUCUGUUUAAUCAUUUGAAGAAGUUCUUCCUGAAAAUGUGAGCGGAGUCUGAACAGCCUGUCACUGCUGACGGCACAAGUAGCAUCAGCAGUUUAGCCACAACAAGUGGUGCAGCCACCAGACCAAAAGCAGCGAUCAAUCAUAUCAUCUACGUUUACAUCAUCUAAUGUUUAGAUUUUAAGGCGUCUUCAUUAUCUCUGAGGGGCGAAACGUCCCAAGUAAGUCCAGUUACCCUUUCAACGAAGAACUGGAAAUCAUAGCCGCUGUAUCCUCAUUUUUAGGAGCAACAUCUGCUGCCUUUAUUCUCACUGCUUUGGUCCCUGACAUCUUGAGAAGAGCAGAGUAAUUAUAAGAGUAAUGAUCCAGGUAGAGGGCGAAGGAGAGCGGACACAUCCCCAUCAAAGAGUCCAAAAACCCUCUAGUGUCAAUGUCACCAGGACAUGAAAGCUGAGUCCUUUUUUCUGCUCCUGAGAAGUAGGUCAUAUUUGAACUGGGAGAGGCCAACAGACAGAGCGGGUGGCGAAGAGGUAAAGAAGGGGUUAAAACCCUUUAUUGUUCAGGCGACAUCAGCUCAUCCUGUGUCCCACUUCUAAAGAUUUGCAUCAUCCCCCUAAACCCCGUUUAUUUAUUUAUUUGCAUGGAAAUAUAGGUCACGCAUUCAUACAGAGCAUACAUUUUUAAUAGUUCUGCAGCUUUAAUUCAAAUGUCUGCAAUCUCUGGGUAUGAAUUAAACACAAACAACACACACACACACACACACACACACACACACACACACACACACACACGACGCAGCCCUGCAGAGUCUUUAUAAAAGGUCUGGGGUAUUUAGAAAGCCUCCUGCUAAUACAUCAGUACAUUAUUAAAACUCUCCUCUCCUCCAAGUGUCUGCUAUGAUACCUGGGGUGAAAGGAAAACCAUGACUGGGUUCACACCAAGACGUCAGAUCUGUUCGCCUCCUCUAACCUUUUCCUGCAUGAGUGACGUCUGCUGAGCUUUUUCAAUAACACACGUGUCACUCUGCUGUUCGUUUCUCUCCACUGGCUUCUGGUUGCAGCUCACAUCAAACUCCAAACCCUGCAACGAAAACAAGUCAGAGUCUAGACCCGUCAAUGAUUUACCAAACUCUGUAAGAUCUGCAGAGCCUGUUUCUAUCUUUAAGAAAAAGGUUUCAGACUCAGCUUUGAUCCAAACAGUCCACUUCUACUUCUGAGCUCUUUGGGAAAAACUCAGUACUUAGUAGUUUGGUGCGAAUGCUAAACAUGCAGAUAAGUUUCUCCAGUUAAAUGCUGACAAACCAAAGUCUCGAUGUCGUAUCCUCUGCUGUAAAACCUGGUUGUCCCUCAGACCAGACCCCGAACUAAAGGAGACCGUGCAUCUGAGUUGUUGGGACUGUCCCCCUCUUGAACUGUGGGCUCUGUGGAUGCUUCUAAAAAGCGUUUGAAGACUCAUUUAUUAUUAAAGGUGGGGUAGGUAGGAUCUGAGGAAGUGCCAGUUUUUGGCCCACAAACAGACGCUCCUGCUCGCUCAUAUCGUUCCAAUUAAAUUCAGAUAUAAUGCAGAUAAGUGCAGGAGUGUUUUAUUAUCUUAUUAUCUUAUCUUAAUUCUUAUCUUGUGUCUCAAACUUGUGGAACUUGUUGUAUCUUAACCAUUGCUCUGUGGAACUUGACUGCUUAUUAUACUUAUUUAGCUAUUUACUGCUGAUCCUGCUGAUCUGUGGGUACUGACGAGGGACUGUGUUUGUCUACUGGCUGCUGUUAAUGUCUUGCACUUGUCUGGUUUGUUUGUCGGCUGAUUUGUGUGUUUGGAUGGAUCAAACGGCAGGGGAACUGUGAACGGAAUUGCCCUGAGGGGAUAAAUAAAGUUGUCUGAAUCUGAAUCUGAAUCUGAAUGGAUGGUUUACU